rnacentral:lncRNA from 1 species
AAUAGCGUUUGGCUUGGCUGGUUGUACAAGUCCAGGCGUGGACGAGUGUGCUUAGAGAUACUGGUGUCUUCUUUUUCUCUGUUGCUAUCUUGUUUUUGUUUGUGGUUUUUGUCAUGAGACACAGACACUGUACGUCAGAGGUAAAGUGAGAUCCCUCCCUGUCUGUAUGUCUGUGUGUCUGUGUGUCUUGUUCACUUGUGUGUCCUCCAUUGGACCACCUUCUGAUUCUGUUUUGUUUUUGGUUUGUCUGGUUUCAGGUCUGGUCUUGGUCCCAAGGAGUUGACUGAUUAUCUUGGUUUGGUUUUAGGCCGGUCUCAGGUUCUGGGGCCUUCCCAUGGAGACAGGUCCAUUUGGAUUGGUCAUAGUGACAGUAAGCUUCUCUGGAAAUCGCAUGUAAGAUGCCCUGUAUUGGUCUUGCUUGUGUUUGUCAUUUCUGUGGUACUGUGAUUCUAUAGUGGUUGCCUGAAAAA